rnacentral:rRNA from 1 species
CUAAGCAUAUCAAUAAGCGGAGGAAAAGAAACUAACAAGGAUUCCCCUAGUAGCGGCGAGCGAAGCGGGAAGAGCUCAAAUUUAUAAUCUGGCACCUUCGGUGUCCGAGUUGUAAUCUCUAGAAGUGUUUUCCGCGUUGGACCGCACACAAGUCUGUUGGAAUACAGCGGCAUAGUGGUGAAACCCCCGUAUAUGGUGCGGACGCCCAGCGCUUUGUGAUACACUUUCAAUGAGUCGAGUUGUUUGGGAAUGCAGCUCAAAUUGGGUGGUAAAUUCCAUCUAAAGCUAAAUAUUGGCGAGAGACCGAUAGCGAACAAGUACCGUGAGGGAAAGAUGAAAAGCACUUUGGAAAGAGAGUUAACAGUACGUGAAAUUGUUGGAAGGGAAACGCUUGAAGUCAGACUUGCUUGCCGGAGCUUGCUUCGGUUUGCAGGCCAGCAUCAGUUUUCCGGGGUGGAUAAUGACGGUUUGAAGGUAGCAGUCUCGGCUGUGUUAUAGCUUUCCGUUGGAUACGCCCUGGGGGACUGAGGAACGCAGCGUGCUUUUUGCGAAAGACUCGUCUUUUUCACGCUUAGGAUGCUGGUGGAAUGGCUUUAAACGACCCGUCUUGAAACACGGACCAAGGAGUCUAACAUGCUCGCGAGUAUUUGGGUGUCAAACCCGGAUGCGCAAUGAAAGUGAAUGUAGGUGGGAACCGCAAGGUGCACCAUCGACCGAUCUGGAUUUUUUAAGAUGGAUUUGAGUAAGAGCGCGUAUGUUGGGACCCGAAAGAUGGUGAACUAUGCCUGAAUAGGGCGAAGCCAGAGGAAACUCUGGUGGAGGCUCGUAGCGGUUCUGACGUGCAAAUCGAUCGUCAAAUUUGGGUAUAGGGGCGAAAGACUAAUCGAACCAUCUAGUAGCUGGUUCCUGC